UUUCUCCAGGUUUAUCCAGGUUCAGGUUCAGUAGAGUAGAGUCUGGGCUCUCAAGGAUUUCUUUAUGACUGUUGCCUCUUACGGUUGGAGAAAACAGCAUGGGUUAUCGUUGAAAAAAAACAUUGUUAUUGUUAAUGAAUUGAAAUGUUGGCAACGGUUGUGAGGGAAUGUCAUGAAAAAAUUAUUGUUACCAUUGAAAAAAAACAUUGUUAUUGUUAAUGAAUUGAAAUGUUGGUAAUGAAAAAAUCACUGUUAUCGUUGAUGUUUUCAAUUUCACUUAUAUAAGAAUAAACUGUUUAAUUAAUUUGUCUGUGGCUCUGUGUUUGCUGGAAGUCCCACGCCAACCAGGAUGACCAGGUAUAGCUAGAGACCAACCGCUAUACCUAUCGCUGUGAUUCUUGGAAAUCUUUUUCUUCUUUCCAAUGAAAUUUAUUUCCAUCUUGUGCAUUGCUUGUCAUGCACUACUUAGAUUUACGGCCAAUGGAUUGAAUGUUACAUCGGAUCUGGUUUUCAUCUACUCAAGAAAGCAGUCAUUUUUGCUGAAAUUCAGAGGACAAGAAAUACUUCUAGACCUAAUGGCUGUAUUAUUUCUCAGAAUUCCAUUUCACUUGCACAUGUUGAAUGUGGCAGUCACACAGUGGGUGUCUCAAAGAACUUUGCUCUUUCUAUCAUAGGGAACAAUCUGCCCUCUCAUUCCAAAUCCUUUGUACUUUUGCUUAAGGGAUUCAACAGUUUGUUUCACAACAUUAAUCUUUAUCGCAUUCAGGAGGACAAUACAAAUCAUCUUCUGCUUGGCCUUCGACUUACCAUUGACUCAUGGGAUGACCAGGUAUGCAUGCCCUCAUCAGAUGGCACUGUCUUAUCAUUUAUAUCUCUUUAUUUGACUAUAUCUAAGAUUUAUAUUGAAUUUGCUAGAGCUUAUUUCUUAAAGUAAAUACACUGCAUUUUACCCAAGUAUCUAAUAUCAAUCAAGAUAGAUUUGAAAAUCAUUUUUACUUGUUUCUCUCCCGAAUAGCUCAAGUAAGCUCACGAACAGCCAGCACGAUGAGAGCACAGUGCAUUGUGAUUAGAUGAGACAUUCUGGAUAUAACUGUAUAUUACUCAUAUCCAGAAGCUCUCAACUCACUACUCUCGUUACUAAUACUCAUCAACGGUUGUGUGGAAUUGGUUGUUAUGUUUCUUGUCCCCUGCUAUGCCUGCUAUAUCACAUAAAGUGUCAGCGAUAAUAUUAAUUAAGAAAGAUGUGAAAUUGAUUGUUAUGUUCCUCCCUCCCUGCAAUGCAUGCCUAGCUCAAGCUGCCUCAUCUAAACAGCCGACCAUCAUACUGGCUCAUUUCAACUGCUAGUGAUUUUAUUUCCAGUGAAUUGAAAUUAGAACUUAACGACUGUAUAAGUUCUUCCAGCUUAAGCUGGACUCUCUACUUAAUGUUUUAAGAUUGGCUGGAGAGAUUCUGUUGAUGCACUCUCUACUUAAUGUGUUAACAUUGGUUGGAGAGAUUCUGUUUGUAAAUAUACAGCUGCUCCUGCAGUAGAGAGUUUGGGUUGGGGUGUUUGUGAUUAUCCAGGGAUUAUAAUUUCCUUGUUAAUUGACAGUUAUUGGUUUUCAGGGCAGGCCAAUCUCUGUUUCUGAUAUUGACUGCCUACAAUCUACCCAUGUAAUAAAAGGUUAUGAGCUUCUAGGAAGCUCUAUAAGCU